CUACGGGAGGCAGCAGUGGGGAAUAUUGGACAAUGGGGGAAACCCUGAUCCAGCAAUGCCGCGUGUGUGAAGAAGGCCUGCGGGUUGUAAAGCACUUUCGGUUGGGAGGACUGCUUCUAGCACUAAUAUUGUUGGAAGUUGACGUUACCUUCAGAAGAAGCACCGGCUAACUCCGUGCCAGCAGCCGCGGUAAUACGGAGGGUGAAAGCGUUAAUCGGAAUUACUGGGCGUAAAGCGCGCGUAGGCGGCUAGAUCAGUCGGGUGUGAAAGCCCCGGGCUUAACCUGGGAACUGCAUCCGUACUGUCUAGCUUGAGUACAGGAGAGGAGAGUGGAAUUCCACAUGUAGCGGUGAAAUGCGUAGAUAUGUGGAGGAACACCAAUGGCGAAGGCAGCUCUCUGGCCUGAUACUGACGCUGAGGUGCGAAAGCGUGGGGAGCAAACAGGAUUAGAUACCCCCGUAGUC
rnacentral:rRNA from 1 species